rnacentral:rRNA from 1 species
GAUGAACGCUGGCGGCGUGCCUAACACAUGCAAGUCGAACGGCAGCGGGGGACAGCUUGCUAUCCUGCCGGCGAGUGGCGGACGGGUGAGUAAUGCAUGGGGAGCUGCCCAGUCGAGGGGGAUAACAACUGGAAACGGUUGCUAAUACCGCAUACGCCCUAAGGGGGAAAGGUGGGGAACUUCGGUCCUACCGCGAUUGGAUGCGCCCAUGCGGGAUUAGCUAGUUGGUGAGGUAACGGCUCACCAAGGCGACGAUCUCUAGCUGGUCUGAGAGGAUGACCAGCCAGAGUCGAACCGAGACACGGUCCAGACUCCUACGGGAGGAAGCAGUGGGGGAUAUUGCAAAAUGGGGGGAACCCUGAUGCAGCCAUGCCGCGUGUGUGAAGAAGGCCUUCGGGUUGUAAAGCACUUUCAGUCAGGGGGAAGGGGUGAUGGCUAAUAUCCAUCAUCAUUGACGUUACUGACAGAAGAAGCACCGGCUAACUCCGUGCCAGCCGCCGCGGUAA